rnacentral:rRNA from 1 species
UGGUUCUAUAGUGAAAGAUGGUUUUGCUAUCACUUAUAGAUGGACCCGCGCCGUAUUAGCUAGUUGGUAAGGUAAUGGCUUACCAAGGCGACGAUACGUAGCCGACCUGAGAGGGUGAUCGGCCACACUGGAACUGAGACACGGUCCAGACUCCUACGGGAGGCAGCAGUAGGGAAUCUUCCGCAAUGGGCGAAAGCCUGACGGAGCAACGCCGCGUGAGUGAUGAAGGUUUUCGGAUCGUAAAACUCUGUUAUUAGGGAAGAACAAAUGCGUAAGUAACUGUGCGCAUCUUGACGGUACCUAAUCAGAAAGCCACGGCUAACUACGUGCCAGCAGCCGCGGUAAUACGUAGGUGGCAAGCGUUAUCCGGAAUUAUUGGGCGUAAAGCGCGCGUAGGCGGUUUCUUAAGUCUGAUGUGAAAGCCCACGGCUCAACCGUGGAGGGUCAUUGGAAACUGGGAAACUUGAGUGCAGAAGAGGAAAGUGGAAUUCCAUGUGUAGCGGUGAAAUGCGCAGAGAUAUGGAGGAACACCAGUGGCGAAGGCGACUUUCUGGUCUGUNACUGACGCUGAUGUGCGAAAGCGUGGGGAUCAAACAGGAUUAGAUACCCUGGUAGUCCACGCNGUAAACGAUGAGUGCUAAGUGUUAGGGGGUUU